rnacentral:rRNA from 1 species
AACGAACGCUGGCGGCAUGCCUAACACAUGCAAGUCGAGCGAGCCCUUCGGGUCGUCUGGCGCACGCGUGCGUGUAGCGUGGGGGCAUGCGCUCAGUGUCUGGAUAACUCCCCGAGAGGGUUGCGCUUACCGCAUAUAGUCUUCGGUCCAAAGAUUUAUCGCCUUUGGAUGGGCCCGCGUUGGAUUAGCUAGUUGGUAGGGUAAAAGCCUACCAAGGCGACGAUCCCUAGCUGGUCUGAGAGGAUGAUCAGCCACACUGGGACUGAGACACGGCCCAGACUCCUACGGGAAGCAGCAGUGGGGAAUAUUGGACAAUGGGCGAAAGCCUGAUCCAGCAAUGCCGCGUGAGUGAUGAAGGCCUUAGGGUUGUAAAGCUCUUUUACCCGGGAUGAUAAUGACAGUACCGGGAGAAUAAGCCCCGGCUAACUUCGUG